rnacentral:rRNA from 1 species
UACGUAGGGGGCGAGCGUUGUCCGGAUUUAUUGGGCGUAAAGAGCUCGUAGGCGGUUUGUCGCGUCGGGAGUGAAAACCUCGGGCUUAACUCGGGGCUUGCUUUCGAUACGGGCAGACUAGAGGUAUGCAGGGGAGAACGGAAUUCCUGGUGUAGCGGUGAAAUGCGCAGAUAUCAGGAGGAACACCGGUGGCGAAGGCGGCUCUCUGGGCAUGAUCUGACGCUGAGGAGCGAAAGUGUGGGGAGCGAACAGG